CGGGACAUCAAUUAGGUUUGGUUGUAUAGAAAGAUUCAUAGAUUUUUUAUGUUAACAAUAAAAAUAAUUUAACAGAAAAUAAAAUUUACUUAAUAAUGAAAAAUUAUUGAAAUUUAUGAAAGUAUUUAGCUAAUUCUGUGCCAGCAGCAGCGGUUAGACAGAAAAAUAUAUUUUUAGUAUAACAUAUUUAAAAUGAAAGAAUAAUAAUAUUAUUAAAAAAGGUGAAAUUUUUUUAAUAAACAAAAUUUUGUUUAAAAUAAAAAUUCUUUUUUAUAAACUAGGAUUAGAUACCCUAUUAUUUAAGAAACUCAUAUUGUUAGUAAAUAUAAAUUACGAAAACAUAAAAUUAUGGCGGUACUUUAAGCUUUUCAGAGGAAUUUGCUCUUUAAUGGAUAAAACACCUAAAUCUUACUGGAAUUAGUAAAGGCAGUUUGUAUACCACUAUAAAAGUAGUUAGUUACUGUUAUUACUUAAAAUUUUAAACAAAAAAUAAAUUAAGUCAUGGUGCAGCAUAAAUUUCAGGAUGAAGUGAAUUACAUUACUUUUAAGUAAAAAAUUAAUUAAAUAAAAUUUUAGGAUUUGUAAGUAAAAAUUUAAUAGAAUGAAAUUUUGAAUAAAGCUCUAAAGUAUGUACAUAUCGCCCGUCGCUCUUUUUUUUUGAAGAUAAGUCGUAACAAAGUUAAAGUACUGGAAAGUGCUUU
rnacentral:ncRNA from 1 species